AUUGAACGCUGGCGGCAUGCCUUACACAUGCAAGUCGAACGGUAACGGGCCUUCGGGUGCCGACGAGUGGCGAACGGGUGAGUAACGUAUCGGAACGUACCUUUCAGUGGGGGAUAACGUAGCGAAAGUUACGCUAAUACCGCAUAUUCUGUGAGCAGGUAAGCAGGGGAUCGCAAGAACUUGCGCUGAUUGAGCGGCCGAUAUCAGAUUAGCUAGUUGGUGAGGUAAAGGCUCACCAAGGCGACGAUCUGUAGCGGGUCUGAGAGGAUGAUCCGCCACACUGGGACUGAGACACGGUCCGGACUCCUACGGGAGGCAGCAGUGGGGAAUUUUGGACAAUGGGGGCAACCCUGAUCCAGCCAUGCCGCGUGAGUGUAGAAGGCCUUCGGGUUGUAAAGCUCUUUCGGCCGGGAAGAAAUCGUAUCAGCUAAUACCUGGUGCGGAUGACGGUACCGGCAUAAGAAGCACCGGCUAACUACGUGCCAGCCGCCGCUGUAAUAC
rnacentral:rRNA from 1 species